rnacentral:lncRNA from 1 species
AGAUAAACUACAGAAAGCUGUACAGCAUAUACUGUCUCUUCUGGAAGAGAUGAAAACUGACGUGAAAGACAUGAAAAAUAGGCUUGCGCAGAUGGAGUGCCAAACCCAAGAAAAGGAGCUGACAUCUGACACAAGGGUUACAGUUUCCCUUAAAAUCUUCAGAGGAUGUAGAAUGUCUCAAGUUGGAUUUAAAGACAGAUCCAGGAAAACGUGCACGCUUGGAAUGCUAUUUGGCGAUGAGGGGAGGCUUUAGCUUAAAGCUCGUAGUCAGGGGUAUACUUUCUGUGCUAUUUUCAACAGAAUUAGCCCGGUGUUACAACUAUAAUGGCCUGAAGGGAAAGAAGGGACUGAAGAACCACCCCUUUAUUUUAAGAACAGUUCAGGAUGCUGCAAGAAAAAGUUAUCCUGAUGCUACGGAAGUGGAACUGCAAAUUCAGAUUUCGAGCUGGCUGACUGGGGCGAGAGAUCGUGAAAAUGGGAGAAAGGAAAGACUUUUAAAGCCUGUAAAUAAUUCUGGGGUUGAGGGUGAAUUACAGGAGAAGUAAAGCUGUAAAAAUUUCAACUGAUAUUUGUCUGGAAAACUCUGACAUAAACCUGUACAGGUCAAUGCUUUACGAAUUUGUGUAAAUAAUCAUUUUUUUAAAUUAACAAUUAAAUAAACAUCAGUAAACAAAAAAUUAUGUUUGUUUUUUGUAACAUUUUUGCAUUUUUGUAUGAACGUUUUUGCUGUUUCUUAUGCAAUCAUUGCAAGACACUCAUUAUUAAUCCAUUUAUUUUGCAUUUAUAGGGUUAUGUUGAUGUAUUUGAUAUUUUUUGCAAAUCAGAAUACACCGAAAUACCUAAAAUUACCAAUAGCAGCUGAAAAAGACAUCUGGGAUUUAUCUGGGAUUUGCCCAUAUUGCCUAUAUGGAAAAUCCCAUAUAGGACCCAUUGUUAACCCGUUUGCGCUUUCUACGUUGGGACCUAUAUAGGUUUACCAUAUGCCCCCUAGAUUCUGCUAUAUAGGGUCAACGUGGGUCCAUGUGGGUCCUGUUUUCUAAUGCUGAUUGGGCAAGAGCAAGCAGCAGGCAUUGCCUACUCCGAUUCACCAUAAAUCGUCCCUACAUUGGUUAGUGUUUUGUGAACAUUUAUAGUAAUCUGCUUCUUAAAAUAUUGUUCUGUACUUGAAAUAUUUAUGUUCAACUCUAGUAGAUCAUUAGUAACAUAUAUGUGUAAGGUCAGUUGGCUUAAGUGUAAAGUGAAAAUAAAUUCAUAAAUAGGAACAUGAUGAAAAUCCUAUCGCUGAGUAUAUUGGUGUGUUGAUUUUCCUAACAUAGUUUUAGGUACUUUCAACACCCUUACAACCCUCAGUUUACCCGACUAUGUCAACUUCAUUUAAUUAUUUCCACUUUGUAAUUGCUAUGGUGUGUGUUUGAGUGACGAGAAGGAAACAAUGACAUCACAUCAUCUAGGUCAAGGAAAAAAAAAGGUAAAGCAGAAAUGAUCAAGCAUAGGAAGAUUUUUUUUAUCCUGUAGUAACAGUGGUCUUUAGGAAAAGUGCAUGUAAAAGUGUAUAAGCAGUAAUAUUUAUUAUAAAAGGGUAAAGAAAAAUAAUGUUUAACAACAGAUGACACAAGAAUUAUAUUUCAUUGACUUUGGAAAUUCAUAAAAAGUGACCAUCAUUAACAUAAAAAACACACUCAAAUGCACAAAAAUACACUGUCUAGUGAAAUCAACUUAAUACAAAGUGACCAAAUAUCAAUAUAGUACAAGGUAUGUUUUCUUCCAAGCAAAAUAUUUUCAUAUGAUGAUUUUUUAUAUAAAUCUUGAAACUUCAAUAAGAAUACAAAUAACUGCCAUGAUUCAUCCAUAUGCAUGUCAUAACAUCUGUAUCCAUUUGUAAAAGCACAGCAAAAUCCAUGCACAACAAAACACUAUGCACAUACUCUAUAAAAUUGCCAAUGUAAUAAUCAUAUUAUUAAUAUUUUAUUACAAUCAAAAAUAAAGUGUCAGUCUCAACUUAUGGCUUCAACAAUACUCAUGAUGAGAGAAAGUUUGGUGGACUGUCAAUGAUGUGUAUGCGUGUGUUUCUGCAGUUCUGCUUGAUAAGGUUUCGGGAAAAAUAGAAAUACACAUGUGCAGGCACACAUACACACUGGGGCAGGUAUGGAAGGCAAUUACAUUUAAUAACACUAAAACACAAUCAACAUAACUCAUAGCCAUUAAUAUGUUUCUUUUACAAAGAUAACAGAAUUUAUGAAACCAAACUUUUGAGUAGCAAUAAAUGGAUUUUGAAUCAUUGUGAACAAUUGAAACUAUUUUUAAAAAACUUAAGAGGUCUAAUUGUAGAAUUAGAAAGGUUAUAUUACUGCAUUUUAAAUGGUGUUCAACAUUAGUUACUUUGACUAAAAUUGCUGAAUUAUAUACUUUUCCAAACUGUAAGUACUUACAAGUGUGUUUUUCAGACACUUGGUAUCUGACUGUAAACAAAAAUUCAUAUGUCUCAGUUAUGUAUGAAGUGUGUGUUGAACAAUACUAAUACUUUGUAUGCAAUUUGACCACAGGAGAUAAUUUGACCAUAGUCAGAAAUGGCUUUCACCAAACUGCAGAAUAAGCUACCAUUAUUCAUCUCUGGACAUGCAGAAAUAAACUAUAAAAAGACAGAGGAUCACACAGAACUGCAGUGUUAAUAUCACCACACAAGUUGGGUUCACACGAGAGAGAGGGCAUGCAGACCAUUCAAAGGUGCCACAAUUGUUAGAUAUCAAGGUUCUUUUGAAUUCAGGUUCCCAUGCAAUGUCUGGUGUAACACUGUGCUUCAGGCUAUUUUCUGCUCUAAAGGUGCGCUUUCAAACAGCCACAGAACAACCUUUUGGCAUUUACAUAAAAAAGGAAGCUAAAUAAAGUUGAACAAAUCUAAACCCAUAAAAAAGUGAGACCAUAAUUUACAUUUAAUCAACACACAAAAAAGCACAAUUGUCAUAUCUUUGGGGGUCAGUGAAGAGUGGGGUUUUGAUUCACCUGCGUACCCAUGCCUGCAUACACAAGUGUCUUGUGCAAGCCUCACAACCAUCUUAGGUAUAUGAAACUACUCAAAUUCUAACAAAAGUCUUAAACUAAAACGGCAUAUCCACACAUGCAUCAACAGAAACCAUGAGCAUGACAAAGAUCAAUGUGCAUAGGUCAAUCCAUGUAGAUAAAGGAGACUAAAUCAAGAUUUAUUCUGUGGUUGAAUUAUAGGCUGUAGUUUACUAGCCUAUGGCUUCUAUGCUCUGACAAAGUUUGCUGUCCAAUUACCCUACGUAAAGCUUAUUUGUAAAAAGAAUGCUAUAUAUGUCAUAGUAGACCAUCAAUAUGUGUAACAUGAUUGUGGAUCAUAAAUUUUAGCUAUGAUACAUUGCUAAUUUGUCCUGUGAUUGCUGCCAGUCAUUGAAUAGGCACAUGGAGGCAGCAGCUGACAAACCCCUUCUUGGGCAAUGGUGAACAGGAUGACCUGUCAACUUCAUGUUCAUAACCCAUUUCUUCAUCUGACCAUCACAGCGCCAACCUCCCUACAAGGUACUUUUGAGUUGUGCUGGGUCACAUGGCCAAACCAGAUCAGCCUACAUCGUUUAACUGUUGCUGUUCCUACAAGUAGCCUGACUGCUUCAUACAAAGUCAUUGGUUCUACAUUCCCUGAGAUCCGGAGCAGCCUCCUCAGGCACUUUUUCUCGAAUACCUGGAUACUCAUGUCCGUAACAGCAAGAAUGCUCCACAUUUCCCAUCUGUAAAGCAGGACUGCUACUAUGAGCUACUUGUACAGACUGAACUUUGUAUUAAACCUGUUUUUGUUGCAAUCCUGAUGCAGAUAUCAUGAAGCUGUCAUCUUUGGAAAGGGUGACUACCCAGGACUGUUGUUAAACCUCUUUGAACCAUACUCAGUUCAAGACCUGUUAUCACACUUUUGUCUAUGUACCUUGCACCUGUUUACAAAUCUGUGCAUAAAAUGAUCUUAGUUUUGAUACUAAUAACUAACAAAGCAGUGGAGGCAGACAUUGCAUCUGGAAACUGAUUAGGCAGUUCCACAGUGCCAAAACAGUGUUUGCACUGUCAAGUCACAGUUAAGCACAAUUUUCAACUUCCUGACAGCUGCAUACUUUCUUCAGUCAGACCAUACUUACAAAUAAUCAAUUCAAGAAAAGACAAUAUGAUCAGUCUGUGCAUGACACAGGUUUGCCACUUUUUGUAUUUAUUUGCACUUAUAGCUGACAUUUUAAAAAUGUUUACCAAUUCCUAGGAAAAAGAAAAAAAAAAAA